UGAUCUGCUAUUUAUAGCCCCACUAAGAGGCUCUGGCCGCCAGCUCCAUGGGAGGCUGGGUGGAAAUGAUGCCUUCGCAGAGCUGAAAGCACGAAAUGAAAUUGGUGAUUCAUGAGCAGCCGCCACUUGAAAUGCAAACACUCCUGUGUCCCCAGCCCCACCGGCCUCUGGCGCCCAUCUGGAGGCGCGUUGAGCAAAGUUCCCAGGCUGCUGCGUCGUCCUUGCUGCAGUCCGCUUGUAUUUGGGCAGAAGAUGAGGACAGGCAGGUUCUGCCCAACAAGGGGCCUGCGACAAGCAGCAGCUCUCUCAGCAGCGUCUGACAGCCUCAGCCACAGCUCCCCCAAACCCAGGCUAGAACCUGGGCCAGACUAAGGGCAAGCGGGCAGGCGGGGGGGAGGGGAUGCAGAGAGAAAGGACAGUUCCCGUUCCCGCCCUCCGUCUCCAUGGGCAACACUGGCCGCAGAGCCGCUUCCUGGUGACACUUGCUCUUGCUGAACAUGCAAACGUGUGCAGAGAGGAAACCCAUGCCACUCUCCAAUUGUGUGUUUCUCAGUGUGACAGCCUAGCACCUGUCACCUGAAAUAGCUGUUGUUUAUUUCCGUGGUGAGAUCCUGGCUCCCAGGCCAAAGUCUUUUUGGAGGCCUCACUCAGCUCACCCUCAGUGGGACUGCACCAGAGCACUCCCUCUCCUGCAGCCAAGACUGCACUUAAGGACAACACACUGACGGAGCUCACAAACCAGUGAGAUGCUGUGAUGGGUCCUGAUACAACUGCCUCUGCCCCACUACGGCUUCUGAACUGGGGAGGCGGGGGAGUCGGCAGCUCCUCCAUGAAGAGGCCCAGUCUGGAGCGUGGUCUGCGUGACGUUCACCCAGUACCAGGAAUUGAAUUCACGACCUUGCACUUGCCAGACAGGCACUGUGCCGCUGAGCUAAGUCCCCAGCCCCAGGUGGGUAUUUUGAUCUCAGACUUCUAGACCCCAGAACCCAGGGAAAUAAGUUCCUGUGGGUGAUAAGCCACCCACUCUUGGACAGCCUUGGAGACAGCAAGUUUGAGAUGUCGGAGCCUGCGAUAGAUCCUGGGUCCCCGAAUCAUAAUCAUCAAUGGGCGGACAGACCCCUCUGCGCUGGAACGAUCAUUUAGGCUUCUUGCAAUCAAGAAAUGAACUAGAUUGAGCUGCUACACA